UUAGCGGCGCUUUUUAGCGCCACUAAAAGUAUUUGAAAGCGCCG
rfam:Gossypium hirsutum cultivar TM-1 chromosome 10, whole genome shotgun sequence